AUGAACGCUGGCGGCGUGCCUUAAGCAUGCAAGUCAAGGGGCUAUAGCAAUAUAGUACCGGCGGACGGGUGAGUAACGCGUGGGAAUCUUCCUUAAAGAGGGGCAUAGCCAGCCGAAAGGUUGGGUAAUUCCCCAUGUGCUAGUAAUAGUAAAGGCGCAAGCCGCUUUAAGAUGAGCCCGCGUCCUAUCAGCUUGUUGGUGGGGUAAAAGCCUACCAAGGCGACGACGGGUAGCUGAUCUGAGAGGAUGGUCAGCCACAAUGGGACUGCGACACGGCCCAUACAUCUACGGAUGGCAGCAACUGGGAGUCAUGGACAAUGGACGAAAGUCUGAUCCUGCGACGCCGCGUGGAGGAUUGACGGCCUUCGGGUUGUAAACUCCUUUUGCUAGGGAAGAUUAUGACGGUACCUAGCGAAUAAGCACCUGCUAAUCA
rnacentral:rRNA from 1 species